GAUGAACGCUGGCGGCGUGCCUAAUACAUGCAAGCCGAGCGAACAGACGAGGAGCUUGCUCCUCUGACGUUAGCGGCGGACGGGUGAGUAACACGUGGAUAACCUACCUAUAAGACUGGGAUAACUUCGGGAAACCGGAGCUAAUACCGGAUAAUAUAUUGAACCGCAUGGUUCAAUAGUGAAAGACGGUUUUGCUGUCACUUAUAGAUGGAUCCGCGCCGCAUUAGCUAGUUGGUAAGGUAACGGCUUACCAAGGCAACGAUGCGUAGCCGACCUGAGAGGGUGAUCGGCCACACUGGAACCGAGACACGGUCCAGACUCCUACGGGAGGCAGCAGGAGGGAAUCUUCCGCAAUGGGCGAAAGCCUGACGGAGCAACGCCGCGUGAGUGAUGAAGGUCUUCGGAUCGUAAAACUCUGUUAUUAGGGAAGAACAAAUGUGUAAGUAACUAUGCACGUCUUGACGGUACCUAAUCAGAAAGCCACGGCUAACUACGUG
rnacentral:rRNA from 1 species